rnacentral:rRNA from 1 species
UACGGAGGAUGCAAGCGUUAUCCGGAAUGAUUGGGCGUAAAGCGUCCGCAGGUGGCUAUGUAAGUCUGCUGUUAAAGAGUGAGGCUCAACCUCAUAAGAGCAGUGGAAACUACAUGGCUAGAGUGCGUUCGGGGCAGAGGGAAUUCCUGGUGUAGCGGUGAAAUGCGUAGAGAUCAGGAAGAACACCGGUGGCGAAAGCGCUCUGCUAGGCCGCAACUGACACUGUGGGACGAAAGCUGGGGGAGCGAAUGGG